rnacentral:rRNA from 1 species
GGUUAAGCGACUAAGCGUACACGGUGGAUGCCCUGGCAGUCAGAGGCGAUGAAGGGCGUGCUAAUCUGCGAUAAGCGCCGGUAAGGUGAUAUGAACCGUUAUAACCGGCGAUACCCGAAUGGGGAAACCCAGUGUGACUCGUCACACUAUCAUUAACUGAAUCCAUAGGUUAAUGAGGCGAACCGGGGGAACUGAAACAUCUAAGUACCCCGAGGAAAAGAAAUCAACCGAGAUUCCCCCAGUAGCGGCGAGCGAACGGGGAGGAGCCCAGAGCCUGAAUCAGCAUGUGUGUUAGUGGAAGCGUCUGGAAAGGCGCGCGAUACAGGGUGACAGCCCCGUACACAAAAGCGCAUGUGCUGUGAGCUCGAUGAGUAGGGCGGGACACGUGGUAUCCUGUCUGAAUAUGGGGGGACCAUCCUCCAAGGCUAAAUACUCCUGACUGACCGAUAGUGAACCAGUACCGUGAGGGAAAGGCGAAAAGAACCCCGGCGAGGGGAGUGAAAAAGAACCUGAAACCGUGUACGUACAAGCAGUGGGAGCCCCACCACUAAGCCAGUGGUGAACUCCACAUACGCAUCCUUUGCUGAAGGNNNNNCCACUAAGCCAGUGGUGAACUCCACAUACGCAUCCUUUGCUGAGGAUACGGUUAACGGAGCGAAAGCGACGUUCAACCGCAAAAGAAGCAGAGGGGGCUUAGUGGUGGGGUGACUGCGUACCUUUUGUAUAAUGGGUCAGCGACUUAUAUUCUGUAGCAAGGUUAACCGAAUAGGGGAGCCGGAGGGAAACCGAGUCUUAAUUGGGCGUUAAGUUGCAGGGUAUAGACCCGAAACCCGGUGAUCUAGCCAUGGGCAGGUUGAAGGUUGGGUAACACUAACUGGAGGACCGAACCGACUAAUGUUGAAAAAUUAGCGGAUGACCUGUGGCUGGGGGUGAAAGGCCAAUCAAACCGGGAGAUAGCUGGUUCUCCCCGAAAGCUAUUUAGGUAGCGCCUCGUGAAUUCAUCUCCGGGGGUAGAGCACUGUUUCGGCUAGGGGGCCAUCCCGGCUUACCAACCCGAUGCAAACUGCGAAUACCGGAGAAUGUUAUCACGGGAGACACACGGCGGGUGCUAACGUCCGUCGUGAAGAGGGAAACAACCCAGACCGCCAGCUAAGGUCCCAAAGUCAUGGUUAAGUGGGAAACGAUGUGGGAAGGCCCAGACAGCCAGGAUGUUGGCUUAGAAGCAGCCAUCAUUUAAAGAAAGCGUAAUAGCUCACUGGUCGAGUCGGCCUGCGCGGAAGAUGUAACGGGGCUAAACCAUGCACCGAAGCUGCGGCAGCGACACUCAGGUGUUGUUGGGUAGGGGAGCGUUCUGUAAGCCUGUGAAGGUGGCCUGUGAGGGUNNNUGUAACGGGGCUAAACCAUGCACCGAAGCUGCGGCAGCGAACGUAUCACUUAAAGCGAUUCAGCGGGUUACGAUUGACGGAGCGAAGCGACGUCAAAGCGUAUACAAAGUCGAGUCGGUUUAAGGAUACGUUCGUUGGGUAGGGGAGCGUUCUGUAAGCCUGUGAAGGGGUGUCGUGAGGCAUGCUGGAGGUAUCAGAAGUGCGAAUGCUGACAUAAGUAACGAUAAAGCGGGUGAAAAGCCCGCUCGCCGGAAGACCAAGGGUUCCUGUCCAACGUUAAUCGGGGCAGGGUGAGUCGACCCCUAAGGCGAGGCCGAAAGGCGUAGUCGAUGGGAAACGGGUUAAUAUUCCCGUACUUGGUGUUACUGCGAAGGGGGGACGGAGAAGGCUAUGUUGGCCGGGCGACGGUUGUCCCGGUUUAAGCGUGUAGGCUGGUUUUCCAGGCAAAUCCGGAAAAUCAAGGNUGUUGGCCGGGCGACGGUUGUCCCGGUUUAAGCGUGUAGGUGUGUGUUCCAGGUAAAUCCGGUUCACUUUAACACUGAGGCGUGAUGACGAGGCACUACGGUGCUGAAGCAACAAAUGCCCUGCUUCCAGGAAAAGCCUCUAAGCAUCAGGUAACAUCAAAUCGUACCCCAAACCGACACAGGUGGUCAGGUAGAGAAUACCAAGGCGCUUGAGAGAACUCGGGUGAAGGAACUAGGCAAAAUGGUGCCGUAACUUCGGGAGAAGGCACGCUGACACGUAGGUGAAGUGAUUUACUCAUGGAGCUGAAGUCAGUCGAAGAUACCAGCUGGCUGCAACUGUUUAUUAAAAACACAGCACUGUGCAAACACGAAAGUGGACGUAUACGGUGUGACGCCUGCCCGGUGCCGGAAGGUUAAUUGAUGGGGUCAGCGCAAGCGAAGCUCCUGAUCGAAGCCCCGGUAAACGGCGGCCGUAACUAUAACGGUCCUAAGGUAGCGAAAUUCCUUGUCGGGUAAGUUCCGACCUGCACGAAUGGCGUAAUGAUGGCCAGGCUGUCUCCACCCGAGACUCAGUGAAAUUGAACUCGCUGUGAAGAUGCAGUGUACCCGCGGCAAGACGGAAAGACCCCGUGAACCUUUACUAUAGCUUGACACUGAACAUUGAGCCUUGAUGUGUAGGAUAGGUGGGAGGCUUUGAAGUGUGGACGCCAGUCUGCAUGGAGCCGACCUUGAAAUACCACCCUUUAAUGUUUGAUGUUCUAACGUGGACCCGUAAUCCGGGUUGCGGACAGUGUCUGGUGGGUAGUUUGACUGGGGCGGUCUCCUCCUAAAGAGUAACGGAGGAGCACGAAGGUUGGCUAAUCCUGGUCGGACAUCAGGAGGUUAGUGCAAUGGCAUAAGCCAGCUUGACUGCGAGCGUGACGGCGCGAGCAGGUGCGAAAGCAGGUCAUAGUGAUCCGGUGGUUCUGAAUGGAAGGGCCAUCGCUCAACGGAUAAAAGGUACUCCGGGGAUAACAGGCUGAUACCGCCCAAGAGUUCAUAUCGACGGCGGUGUUUGGCACCUCGAUGUCGGCUCAUCACAUCCUGGGGCUGAAGUAGGUCCCAAGGGUAUGGCUGUUCGCCAUUUAAAGUGGUACGCGAGCUGGGUUUAGAACGUCGUGAGACAGUUCGGUCCCUAUCUGCCGUGGGCGCUGGAGAACUGAGGGGGGCUGCUCCUAGUACGAGAGGACCGGAGUGGACGCAUCACUGGUGUUCGGGUUGUCAUGCCAAUGGCACUGCCCGGUAGCUAAAUGCGGAAGAGAUAAGUGCUGAAAGCAUCUAAGCACGAAACUUGCCCCGAGAUGAGUUCUCCCUGAGACUUAGAGUCUCCUGAAGGAACGUUGAAGACGACGACGUUGAUAGGCCGGGUGUGUAAGCGCAGCGAUGCGUUGAGCUAACCGGUACUAAUGAACCGUGAGGCUUAACCUU